UACGAAGGGGGCUAGCGUUGUUCGGAAUUACUGGGCGUAAAGCGCACGUAGGCGGAUCGAUCAGUCAGGGGUGAAAUCCCAGGGCUUAACCCUGGAACUGCCUUUGAUACUGUCGAUCUAGAGUCCGGAAGAGGUGAGUGGAAUUCCGAGUGUAGAGGUGAAAUUCGUAGAUAUUCGGAGGAACACCAGUGGCGAAGGCGGCUCACUGGUCCGGUACUGACGCUGAGGUGCGAAAGCGUGGGGAGCAAACAGG
rnacentral:rRNA from 1 species